rnacentral:rRNA from 1 species
GACGAACGCUGGCGGCGUGCCUAAUACAUGCAAGUUGAGCGCUGAAGGUUGGUACUUGUACCAACUGGAUGAGCAGCGAACGGGUGAGUAACGCGUGGGGAAUCUGCCUUUGAGCGGGGGACAACCUUUGGAAACGAAUGCUAAUACCGCAUAAAAACUUUAAAAACAAGUUUUAAGUUUGAAAGAUCCAAUGGCAUCACUCAAGGCUGAUCCCGCGUUGUAUUAGCUAGUUGGUGAGGUAAAGGCUCACCAAGGCGAUGAUACAUAGCCGACCUGAGAGGGUGAUCGGCCACAUUGGGAACGAGACACGGCCCAAACUCCUACGGGAGGCAGCAGGAGGGAAACUUCGGCAAUGGACGAAAGUCUGACCGAGCAACGCCGCGGGAGUGAAGAAGGGUUUCGGAUCGUAAAACUCUGUUGGUAGAGAAGAACGUUGGUGAGAGUGGAAAGCUCAUCAAGUGACGGUAACUACCCAGAAAGGGACGGCUAACUACGUG